UGGGGCAUAUUGGACAAUGGGCGAAAGCCUGAUCCAGCCAUGCCGCGUGUGUGAAGAAGGUCUUCGGAUUGUAAAGCACUUUAAGUUGGGAGGAAGGGCAUUAACCUAAUACGUUAGUGUUUUGACGUUACCGACAGAAUAAGCACCGGCUAACUCUGUGCCAGCAGCCGCGGUAAUACAGAGGGUGCAAGCGUUAAUCGGAAUUACUGGGCGUAAAGCGCGCGUAGGUGGUUUGUUAAGUUGGAUGUGAAAUCCCCGGGCUCAACCUGGGAACUGCAUUCAAAACUGACUGACUAGAGUAUGGUAGAGGGUGGUGGAAUUUCCUGUGUAGCGGUGAAAUGCGUAGAUAUAGGAAGGAACACCAGUGGCGAAGGCGACCACCUGGACUAAUACUGACACUGAGGUGCGAAAGCGUGGGGAGCAAACA
rnacentral:rRNA from 1 species